rnacentral:rRNA from 1 species
UACGUAGGGACCAAGCGUUGUCCGGAAUCAUUGGGCGUAAAGAGCACGUAGGCGGUUUGAUAAGCGGAAUGUGAAAGCCCCGGGCUUAACCUGGGAACUGCAUUCCGAACUGUCAGGCUAGAGUAUGAUAGAGGUGAGCGGAAUUUCCUGUGUAGCGGUGAAAUGCGUAGAUAUAGGAAGGAACAUCAGUUGCGAAGGCGGCUCACUGGAUCAAUACUGACGCUGAGGUGCGAAAGCGUGGGUAGCGAACAGG